GUCAUCCACAUUAUAUUUUAAUUUUUAAAAUCCAUCACAUGGAUUACUUCGACCAAGAUUUUACUGAAUUGAAACAUACUAAUACAUUAACUCCUACUUAUUUAGAGGGAUCAAUUCCAUCUUGACUCACACACCGAUUUUGCAAGUACUUGACUAUGCCCAGAAAUCUUUUAUCAUUGAAUUAGAAAUUCAGAUAGUCUAGCAUCAAAGCAUAGUGAGUUGCUUGCAAGUCACGUGGUGAUCUC
rnacentral:lncRNA from 1 species